AGUCGGUCUUGUGCUGCGAUCCACUAACUAGGGCGCCCUUCCCAGGACCUCCUAGCCACUCCAGAGGUUCCAGAGUCAGGGCUGCUUCGCACUUUGAACUUGACAAAACUCGAGUCGCAUCAAGAAAAAGAAUGUUUUUGCACAGCUCUACAAUUGGGAGGGCCGAAGCACAAGUUGCUUAGAGCGGUUCGGUUCAUCUAGCACGAAGUGCUUGAACUUCAGAGGACCUGCACAUGCGAGUGGGAGCCAGUCUGUGUGUCCCAAGACGCAGGUUCGGAGUGUCACUCUCCGUUUCUUCAAGACCUGUGUUUGUUUGUUUGUUUUCUCUUCUUGCCACAGGGUCUUGCUCUGUAGCUCUGUUGCUUCCAACCUGUGAUCAUCCUUCUGCCUCAGCCUCCUCAAGAAUGAGCCUCUCAGUGACUAUGCAAGCUUCUUAGUCAGCUGUGGAGGGUAUCUCUACUCUAGAAACCAGAACCCACUGUCUGCUUCUAAACUAGAGGCAGUUAGAGAGCAGAACAGGGAAGAGAAAGAAGGGUUAAAACGUUAACCCUUGGGGUUGGGGAUUUAGCUCAGUGGUAGAGUGCUUGCCUAGGAAGCUCAAGGCCCUGGUUUCGGUCCCCAGCUCUGGAAAAAAAAAACCAAAAAAAAAAAAAAGUUAGCCCUUGGCCUGUGGCUGGCCCUCUGUAUGCAUAAGCAGGGCAAGGUGCAUUAAAGAAUGCUAGGUUGUGGGAGGCGGUGAAUGGAAGGAGGGCGGUGAGUGGGAUGUAAAAUGAAUAAGGAAAAAAAUUUAAAAAAAGAAAAAAGUCAGGUGAUGGAUAAACAUCUCCCAGCAGGAGGGACAAGCACUCAGAAUCGGGUUACACUUCAAUUCUAGGAAACUAAAUUGGUUUUCCGAUCUGUCACUGUUUAACCAUAUGGAGGAGAUAUAUAGAACGGCUAACCCUGGCUAACUCCUCCCUCCAGUACUGUCUGUCACCUUGUUUCCUUUCUCAUCCCGUUCAUCCUCCCUCACCAGUAGGUACCAUUCUGAGAACCGUCUUUGGAUGUAAGCUUCCCUGGAGAAAUGAACAAACCCGUUUUACAGUAAUGAAUCCAAAUUAUUCCACGAGGCUUUUAAUCAAAGUACAGUAUAUUUACCAAAAAAGUGUGGACCAAUGUAUAAUAUCAAUGUAUAACUUGCUGCAUUUUCCUAAGCUGAGCACAGUGAUGUGACCAAAAUAUGGGUCGGAAGUCUUCGUCACCCCCCUGCAUCUCCUCAUGCCCCUUUAUGACCUCUGCACACCCAACUCUAGGCAUCAGGUUUGCAUAGCCAGGGCUUCUCCCCACUGAGCCACCUCACAGGGACACCUCUGACUUCCAAUACCAAACCAACAUAUUUGCUGUUCAUGUAAAUGUAAAUGUGUGAGGUCACCGCCAUUCACAGUCAACUGUGAAGUACACAGUUUCAUAAACUGUCACUGUUUAUGUCUGGGGGAGGGGAGGGCACACCUUUCCUCAGUCGUUCUCCUCAGUCACUGUCUUGAGUGUUAGCACAGGAGCUGCUGAGCACAGGGUUUCUGUAAAUGAUCAAACUGGAAUCAGCUGGCUCCCUCUCUGAUCAGUAGGUUGUUCUCUGUGGCCCUAAUCACCAGUCCUUGAAGAGAACCCGGCUCUUCCUUGGAGGUGAUUUGAAUCAUUAAAGGGAUUGAUUCAAGAGAGCGCUUGCGGAUGGCUUUGAAGAUAGAGUAAAUCUCUUGGCAAAGGACUCAAAUGUCCUCUUGGAGCAGAGAUCGGCUCCUGGCCAAGAGCCAACAACCACACAAAAAGAGCGGAUUCUCGAAAGAACCUGAAGAAGCUCCAGAGAGGGUCCUGAGCGCCAGCUGCUGUGACCUUGAUUUCAGUCUUUGAGAUUCAUUAAAAAAAAAAAAAAAAAAAAAAAAAAAAGAGGUCCCAUGGGGCUGGCAGGAUGGCAGAGCAGUUAAGAACGAUGGUUGCUCUUCCAAAGGACACGGGAUCAAUUCCCAACAUGGCAGCCCACAACUGUAACCCCAAUUCCAGGGGAUCCAACACUCUCACACAGAAACACAUGCAGUCAAAGCACCAAUGCACAUAAAUCGUUUUAAAAAGCAUAAAAUUUAAAAAAGAGAGAGACCCCAGCUACACAGCUUGAAACUACACCUGUGCUGCUCGAGAUACUAACUGUGUGGCCCCUUCCCGACGGAACCAAACCUGUGUGCAGUGUGAAGCUGGAGUCUGUGCAAUCUUUCUGAUGCAUGGCAUUGCAGCAUGCCCUUUUGCUUCCUGUUUUUGGGGCCGAGAUAGGAGCCAGGGUGCCUGUUAGGCAUGCGUUAUACUAACAUACUACUACAUGCUAUCCAUCAUUCUACUGUUGACGGACAUCUGGCAGCUGCUGCGGUGAGGCGUUCCAAACCUUCUCUUUGAUGGAUGCGUGUGUACGUUCGUGCGUGUCAAUUGGGCAUCUGCACUUAGAGAAGAAAUUGUUCACUUGGACAGUGUGUGUUCAGCUUUGGUGACUACUGCCAAAUGGUUUUCCAAAACAGACAUAUUUUCAAGUAGAUACUUAUUUUGUCUUGCCAUCACCAAAGGAAGUAACGUGGGUAUCAGCCUUCUAAGCUAACAGGGAAAAGAAAAGCACCAGGAUUGCUGAGAGACAACAGCCUCCGAGGUCCUUAUUCCGGUUAUUUGGGUGGAUCUGCAGGAAACAAGGUCGGUGCAGGCGAUGGGCACAGUUGGGGCUUUGUGACAACACGUAAGGGGUGUCACGUCACUUGACACUCUGCGAAAGGCCACAGAUAAUCUAGCACACAUCUGCUGACACUGCAUUUGAAAUCCCAUUUCUUCAGAUCAGAUCAAAGAGUUAUAUUUAAUCCACUAGACUUGUCUUAGUCGAGUGGAAUCAGAGACCUAAGGUCAUGAAAUGAACAACUUUGAAAUCAGUUGAUGCUACUGGCAACGCAGAGCUGGAUGAUACCUUAGGCCAAACUUAUGCUCUGAUCGUAGCCUUGCAGCAAACAGUCGGAAGGACUUAACAAACAAAAGAGUAAACAGGCAGCCAAGGGAUCGCAGUGCCAGAUUCGGUGAGCACCAUUUUAUAUUGUAAUUGCCAGGAACGGGGACAGCUGCAUCAUUGUUUAAAACACACACUCAUGCACAAUUAAGCCAGGAACAAAUGUCAACACUGGCACAAUCUGCAAAAUUACUGAUAACUGAUGGGAGUUACUCAUGCUGUGAGCAUUGUCUCCAGCAUAAAACAGAACAGCUUGAAAAGAGGAAGGAACUUAGCAGUUUCUGUGGGCUUCUAGAAGCUGGCUUUUAUUCAUGCAGCCCGACCAUAGCCUGCCAGAUUAUGUAAGUGGCAUUCCACGCAUGUAUUCAAGGAAUGUGUGAUAAACGUGUGCCGUUCUUGUGCCUCUUUACAUUUGUGGUAACGAGUCGGGCCUCUGAGGGCUGCUCUCUGAUUCAGGACAGUGUUUGUGACGAAAGCAUCUGUUACCAUGUGAGCACAAAUGGUCCAGUUCCAGCCUUAUAAUCUACAGAGCUGGGAAACAACCUGAGUUCACAGCGGGUGCUGGGUUUUACAUUAUCCAUCUUGAUAUUUAGUCACUUAGCUUGGUGUACUGGCGCUAUAAUUUCUACCCCUUGUUCAUUGCCCCUAUGAAGUAUGUAUACAUCAUUUCGAAUCCUGAACCUUCCUGCUGUGCCACCUCCAGUCCCAUAAGCUCCUCCUUCCUACCUUCCAGCAGUCAGCCAACACCUCAGAGUGCAGAGGCUCUGGCCCAUUUCAAGUUUGCCACACUCCCAUGGCUAGCCAGGUACACACAGCUCACUGUGGGAUAAGGACAUUUGGGUCUCACUUAGAUGAUGUGGGAGUUAAAUUGAAGGCCGACCUCCACUCAUCUUGAAGACUGUCCUGGGAAGGAAAUACAGCAUUAGUUUGUGCCUUCACAGCAGAUUUAGAGGAAGCCAAGUGGACAAUUCUUAUAGGAUAAACCAGUGGGAGUGGCUGGGAGGAGUGGUGGGAUGGACUGCAAAGAAGGUGUCUGGAGGAAGCGACCGGGCCUGCACAGGAUGGGAAAGGAUGGUCAGUCAGGUGCAGACAAUGGGCCUAGAUGCUCUGGGUGAGAGUACAAGGUGAGCACAGGCUCCAGCAGGAGGCGUGGCGUUGCUGGCUCCAUGCACGCACCUCAGGGACGAGGUUGGUCAGUGGGCCAGAGGCAGAGCCUUGGGAGCUGGGACUCCAUCCAUGGACUACUGCAAAACUGCAUCUUAGCUAUUCAUGCUUUGAGCUGACCGAGCCCUGUCUGAGACGUGGAAGGCUCUUAGCCUUCUAGUCCUUCAGGCAUUGGCAUUCAUUCCCUCUCCCUAUUGGCAGGCGGCACUGCACAACCUAAGACAGUCCUUUGCCUCCCUCCAUGGAAGCAGGAGAGUAGUGAAAUGUGAUCACUGUUUUGUAAAAGCUGUCACCUUAUUAAGUGUCUCAUCACUCGGAUCAUCUGAGUUUCGUGCUAGCAGGUUAAGCAUGGCUAGGGAUGGCCCUCUGAAUUAUCCAUUUGCUAGAGCUCGUGUUUACUGUGCACUGUCUCUGCCUCCUGGGACUCUGUCCUCCAGGUUGCUGGUACAAGCCCAUGCUCUUCUCUGCUUUUCCAAUCUCCCCUCUUGGAAGGGACUCUGAGAGGUUUCAUCGAAGGCCUUGAUGGAGAGACUGAAGCUGAGAACAUGGUCAACCCUGUAUCCCAUUCGAGUUUUGUUCCUGGAGAUGUAAAGGAAUAUACAUACGAGUGACAUCCUGAUCACGGCCUCGAACAUUUUCAAUGCAGUCUACUGCGCUUGGUUUUCCCAUGGAACAUGUACUUGAUUUUCUAACAGAAUUAACGGGAAUGGGAAUAGAGUUUGCUGUUCAGAAAAUGUCUUGCCUCCUACAAGCCAAUACUGGAGACGGAUGCGUUCUGCCUGAGAACCUGUCUGUGACGUGUGUAGUCAUCGGUUUGACAGUCAGGCUGGGAUAUGAGUUUACCCUGACUCAUCCUCACCAGCCAAGUGAACAGUGAAGAAUACCAGGAACCAGUAAGAUUUCAGAAAGGCCAGGCUGUAAGUGUCACACAUUUCAUGAAAUGUGGUUUCUAUAGCCAGUGUUCCACUGAGUUGCUAUGAUGUGGAAACAUGGCCAACCCACAAAUGCAGCUGGCCCAUGGGCUGUGUGGCUGACUCUACCCCACAAUGGGAUAUGCAGACCCUGUGUACAGCCCAGCCUGGACACUACAAAAGACCUUUCCUUGGUUUAUACAUCGUCUCCACAAAAGCUUGAUAAACCAUAACAUAUGAACCUAUUAUUCACUAUCAACCCAACAGAUCGACCUACGGUCUCAUAAUACUUGUCUCUGGUCACCAGAGCAAGUGUUCAUUAGGUCAUUUGACUUGACUCCACCUUCCCCCUGGGAGACAAUAAGUCCUGAAGGCCAGCGUCAAGCAGCAGAACAGGAGCCACAGAGAAAUUAAUUAGCACAUUAGGUGUGGCGUACACUUGUGACUCUGGGAAGUAAAUUGAGGAGGUGCUGAAAGAGAUUGAGAGACUCUCACAUGUGUGGUUAUAAUCAGCAAGCUCACGGUGAGGUAAUAAGCCAGCGCGGCCUCCUUGGCUACAGCGCAAGCAAAUUUGUUGUUGACCAAAUGCCUUGAUGUUCGACUCUGAAGGCUGUGACAAGGCUGAAGGCAGUGGCCAGUGGUGUCCCAGAGCCUGGGAAGCACUGAGAACUGUGGUGCAGGAAUCAAAGUAGUUUGUCAGGACCAAAUGUAAAACUCUAACUGCUUUCUAAGUGCAGGCUCUCCUCUGGUCAGCCAGCUUUGCUGUGACCUUAGAUGGGGACGUCCUCUCACUACUGGACACUCAGCAGACAUGUGACAUUGCCCAGGUGCCCGCUGCUCUUCCAUGUCCCCGCCAGCUUCACAUUCAAGCUCUCAGGUCUCUGUCUGACUCCUCAGGGAUCUCUCUCCAGCCCAAAUCAUGGCUGCUUUUCUUCCACCAAAACUUGCCUGCCGUGAGUCUCGCCAUCCCACCUUCCCGGCCAGGUCAGAAGCCUGCUGUGACAUAUGGGCUGUGGGCAGAACGGGGGCCAAAUCUGGCACUGCCACCGACUGGCUGCCUGUGUGAAUCAGUCAACACUAGACUUGAGGGACUUUGGGGUUUUACCUGAGCAUCUUCAGACUCUUAACAGAUAUCAUUUACAUAGAUGCAAAUGAGGGCUGCAUAGCUGAGUGUGAAUUUAAAAUACACUAGGACUCAAUAAUUGGAUGCUCGAAAUUACAAUAGGACUCGAUGACUCUUUUCUUCGUAACCUUUGUAAAAAGGAGAACAUAUGCUCCAAAGAGCACAUCAGUCAUGAUGCGUAGCUCUCUGUGAAUAAUCACAACAUGACGAUGGCAUGUAAGGAAAGAACGAUGACGGAGAGAAACCACCAGCACCUGAAGCCCCUUGUCUUCCCUCAGGUUUAGGUGCCAUAUUGAACCCUUUCAUCUCUGCUACUCUUCCAGGCCCUGGGUCUUCUGUGCUGCACCCUGGGCCGCCUCAGGAAAUACAGUGGAAAGAGCGUGUACUUUGGAGCGUGCCUUCCAAGAGCCUCUCUCACGCCUGUAGCACUCACUAGUGUUGAAGAUCUGAUAAGACACAGUAUCUCCCUAAUGGUCUCUGAGCACUGUCCUGGGGAACCACUGUGCUGUCUGUUUCCGAGGGGACAGGGAGGAAGGCUGGUGCUUCGCAUGUAGCCACUGAAGUUUCACAUAUAUGCUCUGAGGACCUCUAAAUCCCUGUGUGGGAAGUCACUGAGUUUGGUUCACAGGUUGCCUCUGUGAUUCUCAUGAAGAGGUCUGGUCUGGUCUCAAACCCUAGUCCUGACAGACUGGAAGCUGUUUUUGGGCUCUGGUGCUGCUGAGUGUGACCCAUAGGUGACGAGACAAAGGGAAGGAUCCAGAAUUACCUACAGUCCCAUGGACAUCUGAAUGCAAGUUUGGGCCAGAGUGCUGGUCCCUUUAAGAGAUUACCUUCAUUAAUAUUUAUGUGAGCCUUGCUAGGAUGUUUCCUAAACAGACAUACAAAUGCCAGCCUUAUGACACUGGCUAAUAAAAACCAAAUCCUCUGGCU